ensembl:lncRNA
GGCAGCCCUCCCUGCGCCUCUGUGCCGCAGGUGCUCCCUGGGGUUGUGGGCAGGGGGCCCUUGUUCGUAGGAGCUGCCCCAUGCUGAUGGCAUCCAGCCUUCCCCGGUGUGAUUUGCCCCAUCCUGGUGGGAUCUGACCUUUCCCACUGGAGUCUGCCCCAUUCUGGUGAGAUCUACCCCUCCCCAGCAGGACCUGCCCAUGCUGGUGGGAUCUGGCCUUUCCCGAUAGAUUUUCCCCAUUCCAGUGGGAUCUGCCCCAUCCUGGUGCGAUCUGGCCUUUCCCAAUGGGCUUUUCCCCAUUCUGGUAGGAUCUGCUUCCCCAUUCCAGUGGGAUCUACCCCAUCCUGGUGGGAUCUGGUCUUUCCCAACAGGACCUGUCCCUUCCUGGUGGGAUUCCCAGCCCUAGCAUCUGGGGAGGAUGGGCAGCAGGUUGAAAAGCACUAGAGCAGCUCUUGGAAGCAGGGAUGUGGCAGGUGACCGCUUGUGAUGUGGUGGCCUUUUAUGCUUGUGGACACGUGUUCUUGGGACAGGGUGUUGGGGUGCAGCACCUGCCAUAGGGUGCGGGCAGGUCCCAGGUGCUGGCUUAACAUAAUAAGUAAGAACAAUAGAAAGUAGGCACUCGGGUUUAAAACCACGCGUCUGUUAGUGGCCAGCCUAAGCCUGGUGGUUAUGCUCGGUUGAAAGCUGGGUGUAAAACAGGCCUUGAAGAGCAGCACUUGCUCCGGGAUGAAAGACGUGGAAAUAGCGUGUCAGCUAGACGUGGAGAAAGAUGACCACACAGAGCUUGAGCACGUGUUGCAGCCAGCCUGUUUGUGUGUACUUUAGAAGCGUUGUGGGGAGGAGGACUCAGUGUGUUGCUUUAAUUCACCUCUGAUGCUCUGCCUGUUGCUCUUAGUCAUAGGGGAAAAAGAGCGAGAGCUGGAGACUGCCUUCCUUCCUGCAGUGCAUUUAUCGUGGCCGCAGCAGCCAGAGAAAAGGCCGCGUAACAGAAGCUGCAAACGUUCACGAAGAUGCAUUUUUCAGCUGCAGAGAGUGACACUUCCCCUCUUGAGGAGUGUGCAGUGGUGUAGGACUCUCUUGGUCAAACGUUUGUCAACAUCCUUCAGAUCUUUCACUUGGAGUCAAAACAUGCUGAGUCCAGUGGGUAAUUAUGCCCUGGGAAGCGCUGCUGAACUCUGCUGCGUUUUGCAGGAGUUCCUGGUGGCAGAAUUUCUCUUCUUCUAAACAAUGAAUUGGAGGCAUCAUCCCCAUCUUAGUGAUGUUUUCUGCAAAUGCAGCUGGAAGAAGCGUUC